CGAGCCAGAAACCAGCUGAAGCGUAUUGCGAAAAUGAAUUGGAAUGCUAUUGAUGCUGAAGAGUUUGAGAAGAGUUGGCUGCUACUUGCUGAUAUUUACAUUCAAUCAGCAAAAUAUGACAUGGCAGAAGAACUGUUAAAACGGUGCCUGCGUCAUAAUAGAUCUUGCUGCAAAGCUUAUGAAUAUAUGGGAUACAUUAUGGAAAAAGAGCAAGCAUAUACAGAUGCUGCCUUGAACUAUGAGAUGGCAUGGAAAUAUAGCAAUCGGACCAAUCCGGCAGUAGAUCAUGACCCUUUAAAUUGCAAUCUUCAGUCCUGUGUCCUAGGGCCUCUCUUCAAGCCAACUGCAGUUACUUGUCCAUUCUUCCUAAGAUUGGAUUCCGAGUCUCUCAUCUUCCUUGUUGCUGUCUCCUGGAAGCUCUAAAAUAGUGUUUCCCAAACUGUGCUUUGGAACAGUUGGAGAGAUUUUAAUAAUUAUUAUUUUUUUUAAUUAAAAAGAAUGGAGUGUGAAGGUGGUAGAUGCCGUGGCCAUGUAAGUUUGGAAAGUGCUGUUUUAUUUUUCCAUGCCCCCUGACCUGUUGUACCAUAAAUGAACAACCUCUCAAAUAUGAUUUGGCU
rnacentral:sRNA from 1 species